ensembl:lncRNA
GCACUCUUGUUGACAGCCUCAUGCAAUCUGUGAGCAAGGCUGGCAUUUUCCAGCAACACAGUGACUGAACGCAAGACAUAAAUUACAGCAUGAUUAAAGACCCUCCUGAGAGAUGUUUAUGUAUUUUAUGCAUGGUUUUGGUCUGCUUCAUCCCCGUUUAUGCGGAUGUGAUUGCCUUUAAUUAUUGAGAGGCAUCUGAUAAUGCCAGAUGACUGCACCUCUUCUUUUAAAUUAUGAUGUAGACGUCACGUUGAAAGUGCAUUAAAAUAAAUAUAGGCUAUCUUUUCAUUCAGUAAUAGCACAUUUCAGGCUGCCGCAGUGCACUCUCUCUCUCUCCCUCUUUGAGACACGCUUUUAGGCAUCUCAGAAGUACAAAAUAUACGGGUAAACCAUCAGUACUCUUUUCGGCGCUCCAGUCGUCUGUGGUGACACGCGUCAUUACGAGGUUGCAGUCUGUGAACGCAUGCUGAUUGGUGGAUACCGAGGGUGUGUGCGCAUCAUGGACUGGCUUUCUUACAGACUCUGAUUCAGUCUAUGCUGUGAGCGACAGAGUCUCCAGAACGCACCACAGACAUCUAGGAGCUCACAUCUGCCCUUUGAACACAAGACUCUCCAGAUAUAGGACUGAAUGGGAAAGUUAUCAGUGUGUCUGUCCUGUAACUAAUGAUGAACGCACAGUUUGCAGAGAAGCAUUUCAGUUGCUCACGGUGGACUGUCUGACUUAAAGGUACAGUUCAUCCAAAAAUGAAACGUUUACACACCCACUAGUUGUCCCACACCUGUAAUAACUUCUUUCUUAUGUUGAGUAAUAUUUGAAGAAAUAUCAGUUUCUGGUCUGAUAGUAUUUUUUUCUCUACUAUGGAAGUUACUGAGGACCAGAAGCUGUUUAGUUACCCACAUUCUUCAAAGUAUCUUCUUUUGUGUUCAACAGAAGAAAGAACUUUAUGCAGGUUUAGAACAACCUGAGUAAAUUAUGACAGAAUUGUCAUUUUUUGAUAACCCAUUCCUUUAAAGUGACAGACACAUCCGUGUAUAGUUAUAUAUACACGUGUAUAUAUUGUUUUAUUAAAAUUUGGAUAGUCUGUUAAUAUAAUAUUCAGACAUUAUCAGUGCUUGGUAGACAUAAUUAUUAUAUUUUUAGACAUUAUUAGACAGAUGAAUUAAUAGGUUAUAAUUAAUGUUAGACCCUAUUUAUUAAUGUAUCAUUUAUUUUUAUCAUAAAUAUAUACAUAACAAAUAAUCAUGUCAUAUACAAUUUGCCAUUUUAAAAAGUAUAAAAAAUGCUAAAUUAUUUAGACAAAAAAAAUGGGCCAAAUAAUUACAUAAUAAUGUAGCCAUAAUUUAAGGAAAUGAAGAAAAUAAAAUAACAA